rnacentral:lncRNA from 1 species
AUAAACUGGCAUGUUCUGAAAGAAUCACUCUGGAUGCUGUGUGGAGAAAACACUGAAAAGACACUAUCCUCAGAAAUUAGAUUUGAAAAAUGAGCUUCAUUUUCGAAGAACAUAUUGAAUUUGUUAUCUCGAUUAUGGAGGGCGACAAGUCCCACAGUCUGCCAUCUGCAGGAUGGAGAACCAGGGGGAGAAUAAUUGACUCCAUUCAAGUGUUCGCUCCUGUUUCAAUCAACUAUGGCUGAAGAGUGAGGAGACAUUUGGAAUAAAUAUGGCUUCUGGGGGCCCAUUCCUAUGGAUCAGCAGCUGGCUUCUGGAGGCCCAUUCCUGUGAAUCGUCGAUCUCAUAGAAGAUAAUAUUGUUAGAAGGCUUACCUCAUUGAUGCUGAACAUCCUAAAAAGCUUCUGCUGCUUUGAGUCACUGAAAAAGACCAAGAAACAUGAAUUUAAAAAAAAAUUUCAAAUGUUAUAAAAUAAAUAAUAUGAACUCAUUA